UUGUUAUCCUGAUAACAGUAAAGUAAAAGCAGAUUUGAAUGAAUGUUUUCAAUGCAUUGUUGGUUUGGGAGAACCGAGAUUUGCUCUCCAAUACGAUUGCCCUAAUAAAUAUAAUUCUCCAUAGAGACUACACCCUACUUGUAGUCCAGAUGCAUACUAUAUGAUGUCAUUGUAUGCAAAGAUGAAGGUGGUCAUCCUUUCAAAUUGAUGCCCUUGAGUAGAGAGCUCUAAAAAGGGGAUUAGACAAAUAGACAAAUGAGGCUACCAAUGGCUACUAGAUACAGGUGGCUUGAGACCUCAGCUAAAGUCUCAACAUGAUGAUACAUUCUUUUCCCCAGAAUGCUUUCUCAUUUGUCAGUGGCUGCAAGACGUCUUAUUAAUCUAGAACAAAGAUGUUGGUAGAGGCAUCAAAGCUGGAAUAC